rnacentral:rRNA from 1 species
CGGAGGGUGCAAGCGUUAUCCGGAUUUACUGGGUUUUAAGGGUGCGUAGGUGGGCAGUUAAGUCAGUGGUGAAAUCUCCGAGCUUAACUCGGAAACUGCCAUUGAUACUAUCUGUCUUGAAUUAUCUGGAGGUGAGCGGAAUAUGUCAUGUAGCGGUGAAAUGCUUAGAUAUGACAUAGAACACCAAUUGCGAAGGCAGCUCACUACGGGUAUAUUGACACUGAGGCACGAAAGCGUGGGGGAUCAAACAGGAUUAGAUACCCUGGUAGUCCACGCCCUAAACGAUGGAUACUCGACAUCAGCGAUACACUGUUGGUGUACUGAGCGAAAGCAUUAAGUAUCCCACCUGGGAAGUACGAUCGCAAGAUUG